rnacentral:ribozyme from 1 species
AAAAAGAAAAACGAAAAACGAAAGGAAAACGAAAGGGAAAGAAAUUCGUUGCGUCAGAGUCAGAACCAUCCUUUUGCUUUGUUUUGUUUUGUUUUGGUUCUUCUUUU